rnacentral:rRNA from 1 species
ACGGAAGGCAGCAGUGGGGAAUAUUGCACAAUGGGGGAAACCCUGAUGCAGCGACGCCGCGUGAGUGAAGAAGUAUUUCGGUAUGUAAAGCUCUAUCAGCAGGGAAGAAAAUGACGGUACCUGACUAAGAAGCCCCGGCUAACUACGUGCCAGCAGCCGCGGUAAUACGUAGGGGGCAAGCGUUAUCCGGAUUUACUGGGUGUAAAGGGAGCGUAGACGGUUCUGCAAGUCUGAUGUGAAAGGCAGGGGCUCAACUCCUGGACUGCAUUGGAAACUGUAGAACUAGAGUGCCGGAGAGGUAAGCGGAAUUCCUAGUGUAGCGGUGAAAUGUGUAGAUAUUAGGAGGAACACCAGUGGCGAAGGCGGCUUACUGGACGGUAACUGACGUUGAGGCUCGAAAGCGUGGGGAGCAAACAGGAUUAGAUACCCUGGUA